rnacentral:tRNA from 1 species
GCGUCCAUAGCUCAGGUGGAUAGAGCAACAGCCUUCUAAGCUGUGGGCCGCAGGUUCGAGUCCUGCUGGACGCAACA